rnacentral:rRNA from 1 species
GACGAACGCUGGCGGCGUGCCUAAUACAUGCAAGUCGAACGCUGAAGCGAGGAGCUUGCUCUUCUUGGAUGAGUUGCGAACGGGUGAGUAACGCGUAGGUAACCUGCCUGGUAGCGGGGGAUAACUAUUGGAAACGAUAGCUAAUACCGCAUAAAAUUGAUUAUUGCAUGAUAAUUAAUUGAAAGAUGCAACUGCAUCACUACCAGAUGGACCUGCGUUGUAUUAGCUAGUUGGUGAGGUAACGGCUCACCAAGGCGACGAUACAUAGCCGACCUGAGAGGGUGAUCGGCCACACUGGGACUGAGACACGGCCCAGACUCCUACGGGAGGCAGCAGGAGGGAAUCUUCGGCAAUGGGGGGAACCCUGACCGAGCAACGCCGCGUGAGGGAAGAAGGGUUUCGGAUCGUAAAGCUCUGUCGUAAGAGAAGAACGGGUGUGAGAGUGGAAAGUUCACACUGUGACGGUAUCUUACCAGAAAGGGACGGCUAACUACGUG